GGCUGGAACGUCAGCUCGCCCGCUUCCUCCUCGUUCUCCUCCUAUGAGAGCCACCUACACGGUUCUCACACCCAGAAUCGACUUUACGUUCAUAUACGUAUACACGUGGACUGUAUUCCCUGGAAGAACCGCAGAGAAACCACUACCUAACGGACCGAGCAGUCCGUUUUUGUCCACGUACCACUACGACAAGGAAACACUGUGCACAUGUACUUAUAUACUUACAUUAAACUCAAACGAUUCGAGUGCAUAGAGAGGGCCAAGAGAGUCGUCCCCCUCCCCAUUUACUCAAUGUGCAACGCGUAGAACUCGAAGGUCGAAAUUUUAAUGCGCCAUUUUUCUGCCACAGAAUGAUUUAUAGUUGGCGCUUGUAUUAACCCUGUCGUGGUUCCUGAAUUUUUGUUCCGUAUUACGUUUCAAUUUUACUUUAAUUAAACAAAAUUGCUUUCGAUAAAGAUAGUAAAGAUUCUUUCAUACAUGAUGCAACAGGCAUUCGCGAAAUUGCUUGAAGAUCAUGUACUAAUUCGUCCAACUAUGAGGAAAAGAAAAGUUAUCUGCAACCUGCAACUACCACCCGUAUCCUAUAACAUAAGUAACAUAUACUAUUCGAAUGAAUAAACGUGGCUAGUAAUGUUUAUCGGUCGACAAGUUCAGAUAAAUUAUUAUUACACUACGAUUGUAAUAUUCGUAAAUUCUAUAGGAAUUCAUAAACGUAAAACACGAUCGAAUGCGUUCACUUUCAAAUAAUUGAAAAACAGCGACACCUGUUUACAAGCUUCGCGAAAAUAUCUAAACACACGACAGGACAAUUCGCGUUUGCCGCUAAACGAAAUUCCAAUCGGCGAUCCGCAUUCUACCUGCGCAUUCGUGUCGCGCAGCACGUGACCAGGCGUCAAGGUGGGGGCGGAGUGGGGGUAACCAGGUUCUCCCACUUUUGCUUGCGAAUCGUUUCAGCGCGAUGUACAGUGCUGGAGGAUACGCGAAGUACCGAGGAGAAGGAAAAUAGGCGAGAAAAAGAGACAGCUACAUAAACACGAAGAGCGGAAUACGCUCGGGAGAGGAACGAUAUACAAUACGUGGAAGCUACACGUAUCCGUGAGUACGUGUUCUUUACUCGAGACGUCUAUCCUAUCCUCCGUAAAUUGAAUGUGUGAGUGGCUAGGAGAAAUAAGGAGGGUUACAGAAGAGAGAAAAAAGGUAUAGGUGAAUCUUGACAUUUAUAUGUAUGUGACCUGUCCCGAGGAGGCAUUCGUCUACUACGCAUUAGAAACGUGUAUGUACGUGUUGGUGCUCGCACGUAUUAUUCCGAAGAUUUCUCUAUCCUUCUCACUCUCGCUUAGUGUGUUUUAUGCUUGCGGCUUCUAGCCGCUACGUUUACCGUAUACGAGAGAUUUAAGCACGCUUGUGCACCGUGCAGUGUGCAUAGAAUGGCUGUGUGUAUUGUAUGGGAAAAUUGCUGUAGCUAGAACCAUAGAGGCAUGCUUGUUCCUAGUGUAUCGUGUAUCCUUGCUCUCUGAAACUAAAUUCUUCGUUCGUUCGAUAUCUGGUUCUCGCGAAUUGCUCGCGAUAGAAAAAGGUUGGUUGCGUGUGUGGGCAGAGGCGGCGUGCGUCCCGUCGAUUUGUCGUUUUCCCACAGGCGCGAAGGUUUCCGCGUAGGAGCGCAAAGGACGGAAUCGAUGACAGCCAUGGAGGCAGGAGAAAACCAAGGAGGGGAGGUAAUCGUGCAUUUACAUACGCGGAGGAGCGCGCGAGCGCGUACCGAUAACGUUGCGAGCGCCCGUUAAACUUUAUUGCGUUCAAUUUAAAAAUAGAAUUCUAUCUAGAAGGAAGAGACGUUACGCGCGCAUAAAGAAUGUCUCGCUAAAGAUACGCCGGUUGGCGGAGGCUUGUCCGACUUGUCCUCGUCUCACGAAGUUACUCUUCUUGCAAUAUUUUCGUUUUCGAUCAUCGAAGAAUAAUUCAGAAACUCAACGAAUACCCAGAACGGAGAUUUCCUUUUUUACAAAUUGAUAAAUAAAGAUAAACAGUUACGACAAAUGAUACGGAAGAUUUGUACUGUCGUCCAAUUAUAGAAAGUAUUUGUAGUAACGUGUUAUAAUGUUUGGAGCACGAAGUAUGCGGGUUUUUCUGUUCCUUUUGAACUUCGGUUACGGGUCUUUUAAAUUAAAAGCGCUUGCAUCGUUUUUGACCUAUGGUCUCCAAACGACAAAAAACAGUUCCACUCGUCAGUCAGAAGACUAGAAAAUUGUUCUGCAAUUAGCGUUUAGGUAUAGUUCUAGUCACGUAUUUAUGACUCUUAAUCGUAUGUUCAAAUACAAGUCCAUAGGAUGUCAAAACAUGGACGUUAAAUCGACGACACAUGUCAGAGUAGUUUAAACUAGAUUUAACGAUGUGUGUAGUCUAGGAAAGAUUAAAGUGACUAUAAGACAAAUCUAAUAUAUUAUUGAAACGAACGUAAGGCAAUAAAUGUUGGAAGUCGGGAUACGUCGAAAACUGUUGUGUAUAUACAGUUCCGUAUUAUGUCCAGAGAAACUUCAAUACGAUCCUUCGAAAUGAACGAAGAUUGGACGUUAUUAUAAAAGUUUCGUAUCUUAUCUAAGACAAGUAUUAAACUAUAUAUAUAUUACACGUAAACGUAUGCUCAGAAAAUAUACUACAAAUUACUAUUACACUUAUCGUAUUUCAGAUUUAUAAAUUUAUAAAUAUAAUUUUCUAAAUCAAAUUAAA